rnacentral:tRNA from 1 species
AUCUGUGUAUUCUAAUAUAAGAGCUGGAUUCUUACUUCAGUAAUGUGAAAUUUCACCAUAGAUU